rnacentral:rRNA from 1 species
CUCCAGAGUUUGAUCCUGGCUCAGGAUGAACGCUGGCGGCGUGCCUAAUACAUGCAAGUCGAGCGAACAGAUAAGGAGCUUGCUCCUUUGACGUUAGCGGCGGACGGGUGAGUAACACGUGGGUAACCUACCUAUAAGACUGGGAUAACUUCGGGAAACCGGAGCUAAUACCGGAUAAUAUUUCGAACCGCAUGGUUCGAUAGUGAAAGAUGGUUUUGCUAUCACUUAUAGAUGGACCCGCGCCGUAUUAGCUAGUUGGUAAGGUAACGGCUUACCAAGGCAACGAUACGUAGCCGACCUGAGAGGGUGAUCGGCC